UGCGUGUUCAACCGCAACGAGGAUGCCUGC
rnacentral:piRNA from 1 species